rnacentral:lncRNA from 1 species
AGUAGUGCUGUGGACGCACUGGACUAACUGGAUGGAUAGAACAAAUGUAGGACACCAGUUUCUUUAUUUUGCAAAAAGUGCCAGUUCUAUGGGCAUCACAUACCAAGCCAGCAUUGUUGUGGGCAACACACCUACCACUCCAAAGAAGACACCUUUUCAAAUGGACACAGGCCAUCAUCACCCACCUCAUCAUGAACCUGUAUGUGGUAUUCACCUUCAUUAUCAUGCUCUGUGACUCUACAUAUCCAGUAUCUAGCAAGAGCUGCAACGAUGGCCCUGACCCUGUUCUCAAGUGCUGUGGUGGUGUGGUCAUUAACACUACUACUCAUCUAUGCUGUGGAAGGCACGGGCAUAAAGUGAAAUCGGAAAAGAUGCACAAUGGUGCUUGUUGUGGAAACACCUCCUAUGAUCGAAUCCACGAAUGUUGCUGCAGCUCUGGAGACCGUCUGGAAGUCAAACCCCGGGAACUGGACAGCGAUUGCUGCAAGCAGGAUGCCCUGACGGUUCAAGGUUUCCAUUUGAAGAACUUGACUGCUAAAAUAUGCCACAAAAACGUGGUCCUGGGAACAGUGGCUAAUGUGUCUCAGAGUCAGGGCCAGUGCUCUGCGGAAAUCAAGAGUGUCCUGCUGAUUCAAGGAUGGACCAUCAUACCCAAGCCUAACUUUCACCAGCCUCUGGGCAACUGCAGCCUCCAUCUGAUGAAGCAGAACCAGACCUACCUCUGGGCCAUGUCUAACGGUCAUCUCCUGCUUAUAUCUGAUCUCAGCAGCAUGCCCUCACCAGUUUACUCGGUGCUGUUUCUUUGCCGGGACGUGUUUGCCAAAUUUUAUGACACUCAGCAAGUUCUUCGCCCAGCCACUAUUGAUCCAAAUUAACCAAGCAUUAUAUAAUCAACUUUUAUUCAGUGGCUUACAGUACAAACAGUACAGUUUGCUUUAACUUAAGUAUUUAAUAACAGUUCUCUUAAGGAAUAUAUUUAAACAUUCAAAACUCUGAAGCCUUAUUAAUUUUAGGCAAUACAAGGCUCCCAACUAAGUGGCGGAGAGAUAUGGGCACAUGAGUGUGUUUGAUUUCUGAUGGUGCAAGGCUUGGAUAAAUGGGAAACUUCACACUGCCAAUAGUGCAGUUUAUUUUUGUUCUUCCUCAUCCCCUCUCUUCCAUUCCAUCUCUAUGCAGGUUUGUGGAUUUAGUGGGUUUUUUCUCUCUCUCUCUCUUUUUCUCUCUCUUCUCUUGUACUCUGCUUCUUUACCUCUGUAGCAUGCUCAAUAAACACUUCAGCUGCUCUGUAUCCA